AUCGCUUCUCAGCCUUUUGGCUAAGAUCAAGUGUAGUACCAGUGAUUUUAUUGGUAAUAAUUUUCUUAUUCCUAUUUGUAGUCUUCUCUUU
ensembl:snRNA U2 U2 spliceosomal RNA